rnacentral:lncRNA from 1 species
CUCUCUUUGAACAAAACUUCAACAUACCUUGCAGGCGAGCACUCUUCUUUCCAGAUGCCCCGGGCAUUCCAGCGAUUGACUUUCCGAUAACUGAGCGAGUUUAAAUUUUCCAGUGUUUUCAGUUGGAAAAACCCAGACCUGCGUAGAUCUGCUACCUGUUAGGUUCUGGCCAUAAGGAGACAUAUUUUAAAUAAUACUCCCUAGAUAAAUAUACUGUUUGAAAAUUUUUUUCCGUCAAAGACUCCACGAGUUUUUUAAGGACCGAUUAAACGUGGCAGUUUAAAUCCUAUGCCUUCGACCUUUCUGAGGGGAAACUGUUAAAAAGAAACAAAUGGAAAUUUUUGUGAAGUCAGAAGACCAAUGGAAAAUAGAAUAUUUAUUCCUCAUCUCCACCUUGCAAGCAUGGAUGAUUUAGAGUGAGUUAGAUUCUGGAGAGAAUAUCUGUCAGAAAAUGGAACAAAAUUGGCAUAUGGCAGAGGUUGGAAGAGAGACAGUCCAGCAAACCUGUCACAAGGCUCUGGGAAAAGAGGAAGUGAAAUCGAGAAUGUAAAGGAUCCAAAUCAGGUUAAGAUUCUCGUACCACAGUUAGGAACCCGGGGCAGUCAGUCCCGUUGUCAAAUGAAGACCAGGAACCCCAGGGCUCAAGACCAGCACAGCUUUCCACUGGUGUUGACAGAGGUCUGAAUGCAAGAGGACUUUCCUACGAAGGCUGAAGAAAAUACGAUGCAGCCGUGGGUGUCAGCUGAAGAACAGCCAACACAAGAGCUGGAUCCUAUUUACCCACGGAAUGAAUUGUGACUGCUAUUUUUCAAGGGAUUAAAAAAAGGAAUGCCGUGUGAAGGAAAACACUUACUCCGCACACCCUGAAGUGAACA